UACGAAGGGGGCUAGCGUUGUUCGGAAUCACUGGGCGUAAAGCGCACGUAGGCGGAUGUGUCAGUCAGGGGUGAAAUCCCGGGGCUCAACCUCGGAACUGCCUCUGAUACAGCACAUCUUGAGUCCGGAAGAGGUGGGUGGAAUUCCUAGUGUAGAGGUGAAAUUCGUAGAUAUUAGGAAGAACACCGGUGGCGAAGGCGGCCCAGCUGGUCCGGU
rnacentral:rRNA from 1 species